rnacentral:lncRNA from 1 species
CAGACAUCCAAAUAAUGGGUCUGGUGGAGACUGGCACCCUUCAUGCAGACUGGGGCCCAGCAGGUUGCCUGCAGGGCACCCGAGAUGCACGUGGAGGGCUGCAGCAGAGAGCUUCUGCAUAUUUGAUGGGUUUGUGUACAGAUGUUUGGUGGAAGUGUUUACACCAUUGCGUGCCUGCACUUGCAAUGUAUAUGGUACAUAUGGGCAUAAAUCAGCGCUAUGACAAAGCAAGGCAAAGACAUCCCAGAUGGCUGGGGAAACCCAAAGAGUGCAUUGUGCUGCUACUGUACGCGAGAGCUUUGAUUCAGUGCGAGCGCUACUGGGGUGGAGGAGUUUUCCCAGGCCUGGACUGCGUGCACAUGGCCGGGCUGGUUUGCGUCAGCCACUGACGCACGUCCGGGCCCUGCGAUGUGGGUCUCACGUGUGCUGCCCAUGCCGACAGCUUUGUGGUGGCAGGAGGAAUGAGGGCGAGUUGCACCGUCUGCCAGGCUCAACAGCAGGGCACUUGCGCAAAGCGUGGGCGCCUGCCAGUCCACGAGGAGCUCCGAAAAUACCAGGAUGGGCCAAGGGGGAUGUUGCAUGCGUCAAGCGGCUCGCUCCAAAACUGUUUGCAAGGGGACUUUGCGCUGGUGUUAGUGUUAGCGGCUGCCACGCGCUUGAUGGCAAUGGGGAGGUACAAAGCAGGCUGCUGGUGGUGAGGAUGGCUCUGCUUGGCGUCCCCACCCAGACAGGGAGCAGGGUUUUGCAGCGGGGACACGAGGAGCCCUCUUCUGUGAGGCGUCAGGCGAUACCUGAUUCCCUCUCUGCUCUUCCGGUCAUCUGCUUGUGUCUUCGCAGCCGUGGGGAGGGAGCGAGGCUGAUCCACCGGUGCCCAAAAGGUGUCCCAGGGCGCAGAUCAACAGGAAGAGCAGUGGGGCGGCUUUCCUCCCCCCAGAUCAACUUUCAGCCUCUGUGCCAGGUUGUGGGGCCGCAGGUACAGCUGAUGGGGCCCGGGGAGAAG